UACGGGGGGGAGCAAGCGUUGUUCGGAUUUACUGGGCGUAAAGGGCGCGUAGGCGGUCAGCACAAGUCAGUUGUGAAAUCUCCGAGCUUAACUCGGAAAGGUCAACUGAUACUGUGCGACUAGAGUUCGGUGAGGGGAGACUGGAAUUCCUGGUGUAGCGGUGAAAUGCGCAGAUAUCAGGAGGAACACCGGUGGCGAAGGCGGGUCUCUGGGCCGAUACUGACGCUGAGACGCGAAAGCGUGGGGAGCGAACAGG
rnacentral:rRNA from 1 species